rnacentral:rRNA from 1 species
AGGGCACCACCAGGAGUGGAGCCUGCGGCUUAAUUUGACUCAACACGGGAAAACUCACCCGGCCCGGACACUGGAAGGAUUGACAGAUUGAGAGCUCUUUCUUGAUUCAGUGGGUGGUGGUGCAUGGCCGUUCUUAGUUGGUGGAGUAAUUUGUCUGGUUAAUUCCGAUAACGAACGAGACUCUAGCCUACUAAAUAGAUCGUCGGCUUACAAACGCCGGCGAGACUUCUUAGAGGGACAGGCGGUGAUUCAACCGCACGAAACAGAGCAAUAACAGGUCUGUGAUGCCCUUAGAUGUCCGGGGCCGCACGCGCGCUACACUGAAGUGAUCAGCGUGCUUUUUCAACCUACUCUGUCAAGAGUGGGGAACCCAAUGAACCUUCUUCGUGAUUGGGAUAGGGGAUUGUAAUUGUUCCCCUUGAACGAGGAAUUCCCAGUAAGCGCGAGUCAUAAGCUCGCGUUGAUUACGUCCCUGCCCUUUGUACACACCGCCCGUCGCUACUACCGAUUGAAUGUUUU